rnacentral:rRNA from 1 species
GACGAACCGUGCGAACGUUUAUUCGGAAUCACUGGGCUUUAAAGGGCGCGUAGGCGGGUCAUCAAGUCCGGGGUGAAAGCCCACGGCCCAACCGUGGAAGUGCCUUUGGAUACUGAAGACCUCGAGGGGGGGAUAGGGGCGUGCGGAACUCAGGGUGGAGCGGUGAAAUGCGUAGAUAUCCUGAGGAACACCGGUGGCGAAAGCGGCGCGCUGGAUCCCCUUCUGACGCUGAGGCGCGAAAAAGCGUGGGGGAGCGAUCCGG